GCAACAUGUAGCUGAUUGGCUGAAAUUCACGUCAUAAAUCAGAAGCAGUCUUAAAAGAAUGGAUUCCCUCUUGCUAUUUUAAACCUGAUACUUCACUUCAUAAUGGAGUUAUGAAAUAAGACCUGUGGGAUCCCAACCUUUGAGGAUGACUGUCCAUUCUACCCUCCCUUCACUCUAAUAGCUGCCACUACUCAUCAAUGAGUUGUCAAGAGAAACUAGCCCAUCAGUCGCCUUUGCCUUAAACUAACAAGGAGCAAAGAAGAUACACAUCU